rnacentral:tRNA from 1 species
GUGCGUGUAGCUCAGCUGGAUAGAGCGUCUGACUACGGAUCAGAAGGCCGGGAGUUCGAAUCUUCUCACGCACG